AUUUAUCACCUUCAUUGACAAAUAAAAUAUGGAUUUUAUUAGAAGUUUUAUGGCAUGACAAACAAUUUGUCAGUAGGAUACAUUAGAGGUGAUGCUGCUACCGCUUUUAAGAUACUUGCUUGGUGUACAACACGCAAGGUCAAUCGUCAAUUAUCAUUUAUUCUCAAACAAUCGAACAUGUAAUGGUACAAGCCGCUAUUGAUGUAUCACUUCUCGAGACGUAAUUUUGUGAUGCCAGUGCAAUGUCCGGAGUGUCGGAGGAGGAGAGAAGGGGUUCGACAAUCCUGAGAGGUGAAGGGGGUCUCUGAGGGAAGAUCAUCAGGCACCGGCGGAUCAACUUUACUAUUAACAUAGUAUAUUCCGCUGUUGCGCAUCCAUCGGUGAGUGAUAAAUAUAUUUUUUUAUUUAAGUAAUGGAUGAUAAUUAUUUUAAAUAUAUUAUAUAUGUAUGUUAUUAUAAAUUACAAAAAAAUUGAUACAUUUAGAUGAAUAUUUUAUCUUGCACACAUCGUAGAUCAAAAUGAUUAGAUUAAAACAGAGUUUUUAUUUAAUGCUGGAACAUUAUUAUUUGUUAAGAAUGUGUAGAAAGUUUUCAAAAUAUAAUUCGUUAUGUUGAUGCAUCAUUCAAAAGUAUAAUAUGAAUAAUAGUAUGAAUAAUAAAAAAAUUUGAAUAAUUUAAAAAUAAUGCAAUAAAUUAAAUAUUAAAUUUUACAAAUUUUAGAUAAAUUUAAUAAUGGCAUUAAUAA